GGUACGGAUUACGGAAGUGUACAACUUUCAUAUUCUUUCCUUAUCUUGCUCACAAACGCGCAUAAUUUUUCAGUUCGGCAGCCCAAGCAAUCAGAAAGUCUGAAUGGGAGUGUCCUACCGCCCUCCGCCGUACCGAAUCGCCCUCUUCGCCGACGGCGAAUUUGUCGAUCUUCAUGAUUUUUCAGAGUUUGGUUUUCCAAUCAUUGAGAAUCCAAAUUCUUAGGUUCCCUUGGAAGCUCAGUUUGGUCACCGCUCUAAUGAGGCACAAGUAUUGAUUCAUUAGCUCUUGAUCAAAAGUGAGUGAGUUGGUUGUUGCAAGUCUUGCAACGGGAAAAUUGAUCUCAAUGUGUCACUUCCUCGUGGAUGCUAUUGUCAGAGGAAUGAAGAUUCACUUUCAUGAUUGUAACCAUUCAGAUGACUGAGGAUAAUUCCCUUGUCAUAUCUCAUAUGGAUCCCACACCUACAAAAGCAUAUUCAGGGAAUGCAAGUAUGCAACUGGCAGUUUUUGUCUCGCCACUAAGAUACAUGGAGAGUUUUGCAAUCCUCUCAUUUUGUGGUAUCCCAACUCCCAAGAAUAUGCAUUAUGAAGAAGGUAAAUGAAGUAUACUUAUUUGAAUUUGACAAUGAAGGCCACCCACAUUUUCUUAAACAAGGGAUCAAACCUAUGUGUCCGAUGGAUACCUAAACUGGUCCAGACUGAUGCGGAUGAAAACAUUCAAUGUAUGAACUCAACCUAUGUGAAAUAUUCUGCAUUGUAGUGCAAACCAAUCGCCAAUCCAGUUUCCCCGAGCCUUUUCUUGUUUGUCCUUGGAACAGAAUAUUGUUAAAUUGCAGCAGUGAAUUUGUCAUUCCCUCUAACUGAGAAGAAUUCGGCUAAAACAUGUGAUUUUGGUCUGUUGUAUAAAUGAUAUCCUAAGGGACAAUAAUUUCAUAGUUUUUUCAAGGUC